rnacentral:rRNA from 1 species
CUUACACAUGCAAGUCGAGCGGUAAGGCCCUUCGGGGUACACGAGCGGCGAACGGGUGAGUAACACGUGGGUGAUCUGCCCUGCACUUCGGGAUAAGCCUGGGAAACUGGGUCUAAUACCGGAUAUGACCUUCGGCUGCAUGGCUGAGGGUGGAAAGGUUUACUGGUGCAGGAUGGG